rnacentral:rRNA from 1 species
UGGGGAAUAUUGGACAAUGGGCGAAAGCCUGAUCCAGCAAUGCCGCGUGAGUGAUGAAGGCCUUAGGGUUGUAAAGCUCUUUUACCAGGGAUGAUAAUGACAGUACCUGGAGAAUAAGCUCCGGCUAACUCCGUGCCAGCAGCCGCGGUAAUACGGAGGGAGCUAGCGUUGUUCGGAAAUACUGGGCGUAAAGCGCACGUAGGCGGCGCCGCAAGUCAGGGGUGAAAUCCCGGGGCUCAACCCCGGAACUGCCCUUGAAACUGCAGUGCUAGAAUCUUGGAGAGGCGAGUGGAAUUCCGAGUGUAGAGGUGAAAUUCGUAGAUAUUCGGAAGAACACCAGUGGCGAAGGCGACUCGCUGGACAAGUAUUGACGCUGAGGUGCGAAAGCGUGGGGAGCAAACAGG